UAAGAUGUACGCAGUCCAUACCUCUACCUCUGAUGAAGUAGAAAGGCUGUUUCCGAAAGACCCCCGGCUCAAGUCACGAGAUAUCACACAAACACAUAGUAAAGCACAGAAGCAGAUGACAUAACAUAGAUACGGCACCCAUAAGGAAUAUAAAACAGAGUAAAGCAGGGAUGCAGGAAUAUAAAGCAGAGGAAAGCACACAGAUUCGUAAUAAACAUGGAACACGGAACACGGAACACUGAAUACGGGAAACGAGAAGACCCCCCCCCCCCCAAUUAAUUCCCUACCCUAGCGACCCGAACUGGCCCUAAUCCUCUGCCGUAAUUCGCAUCUUCCAGACCUUCCUAUCUAGGGUCAUGUCCUCGGUGAGCUGUAACUGUUCCAUGUCCCGCCUAAUCACCUCACCCCAGUACUUA
rnacentral:lncRNA from 1 species